rnacentral:ncRNA from 2 species
GAUCGCCUUCGGGGUCGGGUGAAAUUCCCAACCGGCGGUGAUGAGAAAAAAAUUCUCUUAGCCCGUGACCCGUUUUCAUUGCUUAUUUUUUAUCUGAAAACGGUGGAUUUGGUGUAAUUCCAAAGCCGACAGUAAAGUCUGGAUGGGAGAAGGUAUGU